rnacentral:rRNA from 1 species
UUUAAAGUCUAAUCUGCCCUAUGAGGAAUUAAAUGGCCGCGGUAUUUUGACCGUGCAAAGGUAGCAUAAUAAUUAGUUUUUUAAUUGAAAGCUGGAAUGAAUGAUUGGACGAGAAAAUGGCUGUCUCAAUUUAAUUUUUUUAGAAUUUUAUUUUUAAGUAAAAAAGCUUAAAUUUUUUUAAAAGACGAGAAGACCCUAUAGAGUUUUAUACAAAUUGGAAAAUAGAUUUUAUUGAUUUUUUAUAUUUAUAUUUUAUUUUGUAUUUUGUUGGGGUGAUGGAAAAAUUUAAUUAACUUUUUUUAGAAAUAUAAUACAUUGAUUUAUGAUUAUUUGAUCCAAUUGUUUUGAUUAUAAGAUUAAAUUACCUUAGGGAUAACAGCGUAAUUUUUUUUUAGAGUUCUUAUCGAAAAAAAAGAUUGCGACCUCGAUGUUGGAUUAAAAUUAAUUUUUGGUGUAGAAGCUAAAAAAAUUAGGUCUGUUCGACCUUUAAAAUUUUACA